AAAUGAAUUGACGGGGGCCCGCACAAGCGGUGGAGCAUGUGGUUUAAUUCGAUGCAACGCGAAGAACCUUACCUACUCUUGACAUCCAGAGAACUUAGCAGAGAUGCUUUGGUGCCUACGGGAACUCUGAGACAGGUGCUGCAUGGCUGUCGUCAGCUCGUGUUGUGAAAUG
rnacentral:rRNA from 1 species